rnacentral:rRNA from 1 species
UGGGGAAUAUUGCGCAAUGGGCGAAAGCCUGACGCAGCGACGCCUCGUGAGGGAUGAAGGUUUUCGGAUCGUAAACCUCUGUCAGAAGGGAAGAAACCGCACUGUGCUAAUCAGCAGUGCCUUGACGGUACCUUCAAAGGAAGCACCGGCUAACUCCGUGCCAGCAGCCGCGGUAAUACGGAGGGUGCAAGCGUUAAUCGGAAUUACUGGGCGUAAAGCGCACGUAGGCUGCUUUGUAAGUCAGGGGUGAAAUCCCACGGCUCAACCGUGGAACUGCCUUUGAUACUGCUUAGCUUGAAUCCGGGAGAGGGUGGCGGAAUUCCAGGUGUAGGAGUGAAAUCCGUAGAUAUCUGGAGGAACAUCAGUGGCGAAGGCGGCCACCUGGACCGGUAUUGACGCUGAGGUGCGAAAGCGUGGGGAGCAAACAGG